UACGUAGGGUCCGAGCGUUGUCCGGAUUUAUUGGGCGUAAAGAGCUCGUAGGUGGUUUGUCGCGUUGUUCGUGAAAACUCACAGCUCAACUGUGGGCGUGCGGGCGAUACGGGCAGACUAGAGUACUGCAGGGGAGACUGGAAUUCCUGGUGUAGCGGUGGAAUGCGCAGAUAUCAGGAGGAACACCGGUGGCGAAGGCGGGUCUCUGGGCAGUAACUGACGCUGGAGGAGCGAAAAGCGUGGGGGAGCGAACAGG
rnacentral:rRNA from 1 species